rnacentral:tRNA from 1 species
GCCUGGGUGGCUCAGUCGGUUGAGCGCCCGACUUCAGCUCAGGUCACGAUCUCGCGGUCUGUGAGUUCGAGCCCCAUGUCAGGCU